CUUUUCGWUUUYCUGGGCUMCAWGAACGAACGCUCGGCGGCGUGCUUAACACAUGCAAGUCGAACGUGAUCCAGAGCUUGCUCUGGUGAAAGUGGCGCACGGGUGAGUAACGCGUGGAUAACCUGCCCUGGUAUCUGGGAUAACAUCUCGAAAGGGGUGCUAAUACCGGAUAAGCCUACGGACUCCUCGGAGUCUGCAGGAAAAGGAGGCCUCUAUUUAUAAGCUUCCGUAUCAUGAUGGGUCCGCGUACCAUUAGCUAGUUGGUGGGGUAAUGACCUACCAAGGCGACGAUGGUUAGCUGGUCUGAGAGGAUGAUCAGCCACACUGGAACUGAGACACGGUCCAGACUCCUACGGGAGGCAGCAGUGGGGAAUUUUGCGCAAUGGGGGAAACCCUGACGCAGCAACGCCGCGUGAGUGAUGAAGGCUUUCGGGUCGUAAAGCUCUGUCAGAGGGGAAGAAAUGAAACGUGCUAAUAUCACGUUUUCUUGACGGUACCCUCAAAGGAAGCACCGGCUAACUCCGUGCCAGCAGCCGCGGUACUAC
rnacentral:rRNA from 1 species